AAUAAAGAAAUACUACAGAAUCUAUGGAAAAACUAUACAAAAACAAAGCCUGAUAAACAACCAAUGUGCAAAAGAAGGCAGAUUGUGCAAAUCAAAUAUUAAAUAGUACUCAGCUGAUGAGUUGUAGAUUCCUUGAAAGUGAGUCUGUAGGUUGUGGAAUCAGUUCAGAGUUGAUGUGAGUGAAGUUAUCCACGCCGGUCAGGAGUCUGAUGGUUGUGGGAUGAUAAAUGUUCCUGAAGCUGGUGGUGUGGGAUGUCCUGCUGGGAAUAUUACCACUGAUCAGGGUGAAUAUAACUAGAGGACAUCGAUUUAUGGUCAGUGGUCAGAGAUUCGGGAUCAGAAUCAAGAUUAUUAUCACUAAUGUAUCUCGUGAAAUUUGUUGUUUUUGACAACAGUACAGUGCAAGACAAAAGUAUUUCUGUACGUUCCAAUCAAAAAUAAAUUAAAUAAACAGUGCAAAAAGAGGAAUAUUGAGGUCGUAUUCAUGAGUUCAUGGAUCGUUCAGAAAUCUGACGGUGCCCCCUAAGAACAUGGUAGCCCCUAACUAGACCGACUUUGAAAAAAAAACCUUGCUAACUAAACGUGCCAAAACGUCUUGGAUGUGUGAGUCCAGGUAACAAUUGGGCAUUGAAAAGGCAUCGGUUAUCACCACAUGGGCUUAGGGACCGUGUGGAGGGGCAAAGCCCAGGGCUAUUCGACUGGAAUACGAUGCCAAGUCUUUCCAUGUUGACAAACUCAUCUUCGCAGUUGCCAGCUUCUCUGGAUCCGGUCUCUGCGUGUGGACAUGGACUGGUCGGCCGGUUGUGGAAAUGUGGUGCUCGACCCCAUGUAUUAUGACUGUCGUGGAGAAUGUGGGCUUGGUGAAGUUUGAGAAUUCGACCAGAGGUCAAGUGAACUCACAUGUGGUGGUGUGUUGGCUUGACAGAGUCAUUGUGGGAAACCUACUGGGGGAGCAGGGAAAGGACCCAAAGUCCUUGACAUCCAUGUGCCAGCAGUUUUAAAGAUCGAUUUACAGUCCCUGAACAGACAGUAAAUCAGCACUGAGCAGUGGUCUAGUCAGAACGAUGUCCCUUGUGUAGCAUUACACACUGUAGCAGAGCAUCACCUGUCGUGUCCCGUAUUCUCAAUCCUGGUGUCGUUGGCGGCCCCCAGCAAGCUGUCCUCAGUCUUUGACUACACAUCAACAGGCGGUACUGACGACACACUCAUUUGAGCACCCGUGUCACACAAGCAUCGCUCUGAAAGGGUGUCCGUAAUGUUCAGUAGAUGAACCUGGCAUCUACAACCCACAAGUGUGAACAGACCUCUGAUGUCCCAAAGCACUGGCACUGUCGAAGCUGCAAGGCAGUCGGCACUUCCUAGUGUCACACCAAAGUGACCGUGGUAAUAACACAGAGCCGGCAGUGUCUGUUUCACAGCAUUGGUUAGCAGUCUGUUUUGCAUGCUGAUGUUGGAAGCCUUGCUGACCAGGCUUAUUGAAGCAGGGAAAAUAAGAGGGUUCAUGCACCACUGCCUGGCUAAAUGUAGACGAUCAGCUAUUUUAACAAACUCCCUAAAGACAUUCUGGGAUUUAUUAGUGAAGGAUAUGCAGACUUGAUUUGGCAUUUGCUGCAUGAAGAGUUCUUUAAACAUAAAACAAGGAAGGAGAUUUCCAAGGAGGGACAAUGUGGUCCCUUAACUUCAAAGGCUUAACGUCAUCAUGACCAGGCAGAAAGCAACUGUUUAAAACAAUCAGACUCCGCUAGAUCAACAGACUGAUCGAAAGGUCAGUUUUCAGUGAUCUCAUGUUUCCUGUAUAUCAGUUUCUAGUAAACUCCCCACUUUCACAGCUGUGGAGUUUCUGAGCAACAUACCACAUAGUAGAAUCCGGUGUAGUCCACAGUGAUUUCUCAUAAUGCAAAUUAGGCCUUCGCUUGUCGUGACGACAUUUUGCUCUCAAAACUCUGGUUUUGAAGAACAUGCCAUAAGAGCUCAUUUAUUGAAAUCCAAGAGAUCCCAACACAAUGUACGGUAAAAGUACUUUAUGCAAUUAUAAUAAUCACAUCAGACCCGUCUCCUAAAGUGAACCUAAAUGAGAGUCGGUGGCUGUGAAUGUUGUAUGUUUCCACAUUACUCUGCAUGAGAAAGGAGGAGGGGGAAUUUAGGGAGAGAGGUGUGGACUGUAUUCUAGGAGAGAGUAAUGUUAAUGUCAAUAAAGUAUGUCUGACUGUCUGUCUAAUGUUGGGGAUGAGAGGUUUGAUCUGUUGGAUCUGUGAUGUUUAUUGGAUUCUCACAGACUGUUACCUCCCAGCCAGGUUCAUCCUUAACAGAUUUUUGCUAUCCUCUUUAUUUUAAUCUCUCACCUAACCCCACCCACCCUGUCUCUCUCCUCACAGAUCCCCAUUUGGACAACACUCAGGAACCCCAGGGAACAGUGACAGGAGAACCUGGUCCAGGUUUGACCACCACCCUGGAACGAUCUACAAGCUCAGGAGUUCGCGUGUGGAUUAACGUGCAGCUGACAUCGAGUGGAAACGUGAGUGAGGAUGAAGUGUGGAAAGCCAUUCGACGAAAGCUCCAGGAGAUGUUCGGUGAUCCAAAUCUUCAGAUCAAGCUUGCACGGUUCAGGGCAGAACCUUCAGAGGAGUGAAGGAGUGAUCUGUCAACGAGUGAAGGAGUCUGCAGUUCCAUCUCCCUGACGCUUUACACACUCUCCCUGACUCCAGCACUGCCUUUAGACAAGUAUACGGCUCACAGAGGGUUAAUCCCAGGAGAGCCUGAGAUGUUGCUACACUUUGCUGAUUCCCCAGUGUGCCGCAGUCUGCGAGCUUUUAGUUGCUCACAUUGUGAAGUACGAUCCCAUUGAGUAGUGACGCCAGAAGCCCAGAACUGAGAGUGAGCACACAGACCCGGCCUGUUCCAGGAGGAGCAGAUCCUCCGAAUGAUGAGGAUCAAUCACAGAACAUCCCGGGUACGGUCCCCGUAAACACCGACACCCCUCACUACAGGACCGGGUCGGUGUGAGACGUCACACACCUUCCACAGUGUACGGUCCGUAAACACCGACACCCCUCACUACAGGACCGGGUCGGUGUGAGACGUCACACACCUUCCACAGUGUACGGUCCGUAAACACCGACACCCCUCACUACAGGACCGGGUCAGUGUGAGACGUCACACACCUUCCAAAAUGUAUGGCCUUCUAAAAAUCCAAAUACACAACGUCCACUGGUUCUCCUUUGUGUAGCCUACUUGUCAUUUCCUCAAAAAAAUGCACUGAGUUUGUCAGGCAGGAUUUUCCUUAAAGGAAACCAUGAUGAGCUGUCAUAUGCCUUCAGGUAAUCCAUAACCUCUUACGUGACAAUCGACUCCAACAACUGCCCAACCACAGAUGUCAAGCUAAAAAGUCUAUAAUUUCCUUUUUUGCUUCCUUGCCCCCUUCUUAAAUAGCGGAGUGACAUUUGCAAUAUUCCAGUCCUCCGGACCCAGGCCAGAAUCUAUCGACUUUUGAAAGAUAAUUGCUAACGCCUCCGCAUCUCUACUGCUACAUCCGUCUGAACAUGAGGGUUGAUUCCAUCUGGUCCAGGAGAUCUAUCUACCCUUAGACUAUUCAGCUGCCUGAGCACUUUCUCUGUCGUAAUUGUGACUGCGUAUAUUUCUCUUCCCUGACACCCUUGAAUGUCUGGUAUGUUGCUGAUGCCUUUCUCAGUGAAGACUGAUGCAAAAUCCUCGUUCAGUUCCUCCGCCAUCUCCGUAUCUCCCAAUACAAUUUCUCCAGAAUCAUUUUCUAUCAGUCCUAUAUCUACUCUCCCCUGUCUUUUACUCUUAAUAUACUUGAAAAUGCUUUUAGUAUGCUCUUUGAUAUUAUUUGGAAGCUUCCUUUAAUAGUACAUCUUUUUCCUCUUAAAGACUUUCUUAGUUUCCUUUUGUAAGCUUUUGAAAACUUUCCAAUCCUCUGUCUUCCCACUAAUUUUUGCUUCCCUGUACGCCCUCUGUUUUGCUUUUACUUUGGUUUUGACUUCUCUUGUCAGACACAGUCGCAUCCUUUUUCCAUUCAAAAAUUUAUUCUUCUUUAGAAUAUAUCUGUCUUGCACCUUCCUCCCUUCUCGCAUAAAAACCAGCCUCUGCUGCUCUGCCAUCCUUCCCGCUAGUGGAAUGUUAAAAUCCCUACAUCCCCUACAGUGAGAGACGUCACACACCUUACGGUCUGUAAACACCGACACCCCUCACUACAGGAUCGGGUCAGUGUGAGACACACAUCUAGGUUUACAAUAAAGUGUAUUCAUUGCAUUAAUACAUCAUCAGUAAUUUGCUCUUAGCUGAUUGAACUGAAAUAUGUGUGAAAUAAUGAAUCGCUUUUUGAUAAAAACACAGAACCGUGAAGACGUCAUGGUCUGUGGAUGUAGUGAGGAAGAUCCCUGAUCUCCAGAGGUACUGAGGAAAGUAUCCUGUGCACCUUUGCAGACAUCUUUGUACACUCGCAGAGCACAGGACAAUCCUGCGCCAACCCACCCAAUCAGCACGACACCCGACACAUCCAUCUGACACCCUCCCGAUCUCCAUCUCGCAGUCUGACACUCUCAUUCUCCAUCUCGCAAUCUGACACUCUCAUUCUCCAUCUCUGACUCUGACACUCUCGUUCUUCAUCUCUGCCUCAGACACACUGUCAGUCUCUGUCUCCCCCUGAUGCACUCUUUUUUUUCGCCAUCUCACCUGCUGACACACUCUUGUUCUCCAUUUCUCUCUCUGACACAGUCUCAUUUCCAUUUUUCACACCGAGCAAGUCAGUCCAUCUCUAACCACAGAUUACCACAAAGGGAGAGAGGGAGAUUGGGACAGGGCGUCGGAGAACAGGGUGCAGAGACGGUAUAAUGUGUCCUCAGUCUGCAAGGGUUCGAACGGUUGAAAUCCAAGGGACCUUUGACUUUUCUGAAUAUUAUUUGGAAGUGAAGCUGAUGAUUUGCAUUGCUAUUGCUUGUUAUGCUGCUCAAUAAACAUGGAACU